rnacentral:rRNA from 1 species
UACGGGGGGGAGCAAGCGUUGUUCGGAUUUACUGGGCGUAAAAGGCGCGUAGGCGGUCAGCACAAGUCAGUUGUGAAAUCUCCGGGCUUAACUCGGAAAGGUCAACUGAUACUGUGCGACUAGAGUGCAGAAGGGGCAACUGGAAUUCUCGGUGUAGCGGUGAAAUGCGUAGAUAUCGAGAGGAACACCUGCGGCGAAGGCGGGUUGCUGGGCUGACACUGACGCUGAUGCGCGAAAGCGUGGGGAGCGAACAGG